AAAGUGGAGCAAUCCAUGAGUACAGUGGCGUACGGGUGAGUAACACGUGGGUAAUCUACCUUUUAGUGAGGAAUAACCGAGGGAAACUUUGGCUAAUACCGCAUAAGCCCGAGAGGGGAAAGUCGAAAGACGCUGAAAGAGGAGCCCGCGGCCGAUUAGCUAGUUGGUAGGGUAAGAGCCUACCAAGGCAGAGAUCGGUAGCCGGCCUGAGAGGGCACACGGCCACACUGGCACUGAAACACGGGCCAGACUCCUACGGGAGGCAGCAGUGGGGAAUCUUGCACAAUGGGGGAAACCCUGAUGCAGCGACGCCGCGUGAGCGAUGAAGCCCUUCGGGGUGUAAAGCUCUUUCGUCAGGGAAGAUAGUGACGGUACCUGGAGAAGCAGCUGCGGCUAACUACGUGCCAGCAGCCGCGGUAAUACGUAGGCAGCAAGCGUUGUUCGGAGUUACUGGGCGUAAAGGGUGUGUAGGCGGUUCUUUAAGUUUGCUGUGAAAUCUCCCGGCUUAACCGGGAGGGUGCGGUGAAUACUGAGGGACUAGAGUACGGGAGAGGAAAGUGGAAUUCCUGGUGUAGCGGUGAAAUGCGUANAUAUCANGAGGAACACCGGUGGUGUAGACGGCUUUCUGGACCGUAACUGACGCUGAGACACGAAAGCGUGGGUAGCAAACAGGAUUAGAUACCCUGGUAGUCCACGCCCUAAACGAUGCAUAUUUGGUGUGGGCAGUUCAUUCUGUCCGUGCCGGAGCUAACGCGUUAAAUAUGCCGCCUGGGGAGUACAGUCGCAAGGCUG
rnacentral:rRNA from 1 species